rnacentral:lncRNA from 10 species
AUCUUUCUAUCCCAGAUGCUCCACAGAACCUCGCCAUCAGCAUCUUCUUCAGAAAUGGCACAGGCACAGCCCCCUGAGGAUCUCACUCAUGACUGAAACAUCAUUUGAGGGGUGAUCACCUCCAGAUCCUCAGCUGGACAAGCCUCACAUCGUCUGGGGGCCUCAGUAUCUUCACCUGCGGCGUCCAGUCGGGGUGGGAGCAGAAUGGCUUCCCAGCCCCCGCCUCACCCCAACAGCACGUGAUGCCCAAGUUCCCCUUCUGUGCGCGUCCACAGCUCUCACUCACCCUCCGGCUUCCUGUCGGGGCUUUCUCAGCCCCACCCCACGUUUGGACAUUUGGAGCAUUUCCUUCCCUGACAGCCGGACCUGGGACUGGGCUGGGGCCCUGGCGGAUGGAGACAUGCUGCCCCUGCUGCUGCUGCCCCUGCUGUGGGGGGGGUCCCUGCAGGAGAAGCCAGUGUACGAGCUGCAAGUGCAGAAGUCGGUGACGGUGCAGGAGGGCCUGUGCGUCCUUGUGCCCUGCUCCUUCUCUUACCCCUGGAGAUCCUGGUAU